GCUGCCGCCAGUUCAGUCAUGGAAAGCUUUAAGCUGACCCAUGGCAAGGCCUACUCCAACGCCAAGGAGGAGCUCUACAGGAAGACCAUUUUCGAGAGCAACCUUAAAUUCGUUGCAGAACACAAUGAACGCUUCCGAAAGGGCCUAGUCACCUUCAAACGUCGCCAUGAACAGAUUUGGUGACUUGACCACAGAGGAGUUUGUAGCCCAGAUGGGACUGGUCUGCAGAAA